rnacentral:rRNA from 1 species
UACGGAGGGGGCAAGCGUUAAUCGGAAUUACUGGGCGUAAAGGGCGCGUAGGUGGCCUGGUAAGUCGGGUGUGAAAGCCCCGGGCUCAACCCGGGAACUGCACUCGAUACUGCUGGGCUAGAGUACAGUAGAGGGGAGCGGAAUUCCCGGUGUAGCGGUGAAAUGCGUAGAUAUCGGGAGGAACAUCAGUGCCGAAGGCGGCUCUCUGGACUGAUACUGACACUUAGUAGCGAAAACAUAAGGAGCACACAGG